CAACACAUAUUCACUCAAAAUAAUGACCUUCCAGCAGCCAAUAUUUACUCGCAGCAGCAACGUCCAACUCCCAAUAUUCACUCGCAGCAGAUACGUCCAGGAACAAAGAAGUUUUUAGUAAAAAAAAUGUUGAAUCACUUAUUGGAAACUCUGCCUCCACCAUUUCAAAGAACAUGGGAUGGGAAACAAGCUUCUUCUCCUCAUUGUUGCCCCUUGAUUCAAAACAAGUAAAAAAAUGUUGAAUCACUUAUUGGAAACAAGCUUCUUCUCCUCCUUACUGCCCAUUGAACAGGGGGUUUUACAAUCUAAAGUUCGCAAUUUUCAUAUGUGGUGAUUUCAAAGACAUUAUUCAAAGAAGAGUAACAAAACUUAUUUGAAGACAUUAUUCAAUAGUUUGAACAGUAUAGGUUUAUUUUUAAAAGUUGUGACUGUCUAUUUUGGAUCAGUACUUCCUUUUGUUUGUCAAGAUUUAAAGAGAUAUGUUCUAUUUUAUGGAUUAAUAGUAAUAUAUAU